rnacentral:rRNA from 1 species
UGGGGAAUAUUGGACAAUGGGCGCAAGCCUGAUCCAGCCAUGCCGCGUGAGUGAUGAAGGCCUUAGGGUUGUAAAGCUCUUUCACCGGAGAAGAUAAUGACGGUAUCCGGAGAAGAAGCCCCGGCUAACUUCGUGCCAGCAGCCGCGGUAAUACGAAGGGGGCUAGCGUUGUUCGGAAUUACUGGGCGUAAAGCGCACGUAGGCGGAUAUUUAAGACAGGGGUGAAAUCCCAGAGCUCAACUCUGGAAC